UGGGGAAUAUUGCACAAUGGAGGGAACUCUGAUGCAGCGACGCCGCGUGAGUGAUGAAGGAAUUCGUUUCGUAAAACUCUGUUCUAUGGGAAGAAAAGGACUGUACCAUAGGAGAAAGCUCCGGCUAAAUACGUGCCAGCAGCCGCGGUAAUACGUAUGGAGCGAGCGUUGUCCGGAAUUAUUGGGCGUAAAGGGUGCGCAGGCGGCUUUACAAGUUGGAUGUGAAAUAUUGUGGCUCAACCACAAACGUGCAUCCAAAACUGCAAAGCUUGAGUUAAGGAGAGGUAAGUGGAAUUCCUGGUGUAGCGGUGGAAUGCGUAGAUAUCAGGAGGAAUACCGGUGGCGAAGGCGACUUACUGGACUUCAACUGACGCUCAGGCACGAAAGCGUGGGGAGCAAACAGG
rnacentral:rRNA from 1 species